UAGGGAAUCUUCGGCAAUGGACGAAAGUCUGACCGAGCAACGCCGCGUGAGUGAAGAAGGUUUUCGGAUCGUAAAACUCUGUUGUUAGAGAAGAACAAGGACGUUAGUAACUGAACGUCCCCUGACGGUAUCUAACCAGAAAGCCACGGCUAACUACGUGCCAGCAGCCGCGGUAAUACGUAGGUGGCAAGCGUUGUCCGGAUUUAUUGGGCGUAAAGCGAGCGCAGGCGGUUUCUUAAGUCUGAUGUGAAAGCCCCCGGCUCAACCGGGGGGGGUCAUUGGAAACUGGGAGACUUGAGUGCAGAAGAGGAGAGUGGAAUUCCAUGUGUAGCGGUGAAAUGCGUAGAUAUAUGGAGGAACACCAGUGGCGAAGGCGGCUCUCUGGUAUGUAACUGACGCUGAGGCUCGAAAGCGUGGGGAGCAAACAGG
rnacentral:rRNA from 1 species